rnacentral:rRNA from 1 species
UACGUAGGGCGCAAGCGUUGUCCGGAAUUAUUGGGCGUAAAGAGCUCGUAGGCGGUCUGUUACGUCCGCUGUGAAAACCCAGGGCUUAACCCUGGGCUUGCAGUGGAUACGGGUAGACUAGAGGCAGGUAGGGGGAGAAUGGAAUUCCCGGUGUAGCGGUGAAAUGCGCAGAUAUCGGGAGGAACACCGGUGGCGAAGGCGGUUCUCUGGGCCUGACCUGACGCUGAGGAGCGAAAAGCGUGGGGGAGCGAACAGG